GAAACAUGAGAAUAGCUUUCUCUGGCACAUGGUUGCCAUCACCUGAAAAGAUCAGGAGCUUCUGAGCCCAAGGCCUAGACAACCUAUACCUCCCCCAUUCAGCCCCCUCCCUCCCCUCUUCUUUAGCAAUGAGGCCUAUUCAGCAACACACAGGAAGAACAGCCUUUACAGGCCAGGAUCCACUGCAUAUAGGAAUCUUUCUCAUUGAAAUCUACAGAGCUCAAGAGUAUCUGCAUUUGGAGAAGAGCCUGGGAAGCAGCUAUCCAAGCACUGGGUGCAUUCCAAUCUCAGUUUUGCAGUGGAGGAAACCAAAGCUUUGAGAAGUUAACUUACCUGUCUACUGUUAAAAAGAGGAACCGAGGUGUGAAACUGAGUUUUUGCCUUCCCUGACCAAGACUCUGAAAAAAUAAGUCACCAUAGUCAAAACUCUACCAAUUGCCAGUGGUGAAGCUGGUAUAAGCCACGUAUCUCUGAGCCAAUUUUCUUAUCAUCAAAGUGAAGACAAUAGCACCAGCCAUACCUUCCUUAGGGCGUUUUGCAGGCUAAAUGAGAUAGUGGGUGAGAAAGCAUCUUCAGAAUUGCUACCCUCUUUUGAACUAUAGUGUUGCUGUUGGUAAUAACAUAAGCAGAGCUGAAUGGGGAGUUCCUAAGCAACCAUCUGAACUCGGGUCCCUCGUUGGCUGCUCGUCAGAUUUCUCUCUUCAAUUCCAAGCGCAUCUUAUGUAAACAAUAGUGUCUAUGAUAGUGGAUGUGAUUGUGUGCUACCUGGAUCUCCUAGCUGAAAUCCUUCGAAGAAUUUCCUUCAGUCAAUGGGAGCCACCUCCCCUGAGGUUAUGGCUCCAGGUGAAGAUUAAACAGCUGUAGAAGUGUCAUCCAAGAUUGGCCGAUGCUGUUCCUGAGAGUCCUUCCUGGAGAGCCAUCUGCACACAGAUCUCAGUCUCAGAGUCUAUUUCCCAAUGAAUCUAAUCUGAGAGAUCUCUUCAUUUGCUGUUUUUUCCCUGU
rnacentral:lncRNA from 10 species